UUAGUAUAGAAGAUUGAUGUAAAUGAGCAGGAGUAGUCCAAGCUCUUACUAAAGCUUCAACUUGUAAAUAUUUUUUGAUAUUAAUGGAUAUACGGAUUACCCAAAAAAAAAAAAAAGAGUUUAAAGCUGAAACAAGGCACCUUGUAAGGAAGCCGCAUCAGCAGCCAAAUGUAUCAUAUUUGAAGCAAUACCCUGACGUCGAGCAAACUUUGCAACACAAACGUUUGCAAUGUAAGCAUAUUUAUGUGAAUCAAAGGGAUCUUGACGUGCCAAUACAGCAGAUAACCUUUUGAUUUCCUGGAGACAAUGAGGUUUGCAAUGUAAGAAUAUUUAUGUGAAUCAAAGGGAUCUUGACGUGCCAAUACAGCAGAUAACCUUUUGAUUUCCUGGAGACAAUGAGAGGAAAAGGAAUUCAGCGAAUCCAGUAAAAACCAGUACACAUUUACCUCCAGUUUAACAACAAGAACAACCCAGUAUAAUCCCAC
rnacentral:lncRNA from 1 species